AUGACAAACAACAUCAAAUUCAUCUGGACUCUCCUGCUCUGUAUCACAGCAUGCAGAUGCCAGAUUACUGUGACUCAGACUCCAGCAGUGAAAGCUGCUCUUGUGGGACAAACCAUCACACUCAACUGCAGGACCAGCACAAACCUUGAUAGAUAUUGUGGCUCUGGCUCUGGUGGCAACUGUCUCUCAUGGUACCUUCAGAAACCUGGAGAAGCUCCUAAACUGUUAAUGUAUCUCAUAAGCACCCGCUAUGGAUCAACUCCCAGUCGCUUUGUUAGUGGAGGAGCCGUUGGUGGCAGCGACUUCACUCUGACCAUCAAGUCAUAUGGACAGGUCACUGUGACUCAGACUCCUACAGUGAAAGCUGUUCAACAGGGAGGAUCAGUCACUCUGAACUGCAAAACCAGCAGCAAUGUGCGUGAUGCAGGGAAGACAGAUCCAGAUUUAUCCUGGUACCAACAGAAACCUGGAGCAGCUCCUAAACUCCUCAUCUAUUAUGUAAAAAGACUCCAGUCUGGGACUCCAUCCAGAUUCAGUGGCAGUGGAGAUUACAGUGACUUCACUCUGACCAUCAGUGAUGUCCAGGCUGAGGAUGCAGGAGUUUACUACUGUCAGAGUUACCAUAGUGGUGGUGUAUAA